rnacentral:rRNA from 1 species
AUUGAACGCUGGCGGCAGGCCUAACACAUGCAAGUCGAGCGGAUGAACGGAGCUUGCUCCUGGAUUCAGCGGCGGACGGGUGAGUAAUGCCUAGGAAUCUGCCUGGUAGUGGGGGAUAACGUCCGGAAACGGGCGCUAAUACCGCAUACGUCCUGAGGGCGAACGUGGGGGAUCUUCGGACCUUACGCUAUCAGAUGAGCCUAGGUCGGAUUAGCUAGUUGGUGGGGUAAAGGCCUACCAAGGCGACGAUCCGUAACUGGUCUGAGAGGAUGAUCAGUCACACUGGAACUGAGACACGGUCCAGACUCCUACGGGAGGCAGCAGUGGGGAAUAUUGGACAAUGGGCGAAAGCCUGAUCCAGCCAUGCCGCGUGUGUGAAGAAGGUCUUCGGAUUGUAAAGCACUUUAAGUUGGGAGGAAGGGCAGUAAGUUAAUACCUUGCUGUUUUGACGUUACCAACAGAAUAAGCACCGGCUAACUUCGUG